rnacentral:lncRNA from 1 species
UGAUAGGUCCAUUAUUUUGCACAUUUUAACUACCUAUUUAUUGCUUGUUUUCGUAUUUUUAUUAGUUAAUUGUUUUGUUUUCAGGAAAUUUUAGAGAAAUCAAGAAUUCAAGAGAAAAAGGAACAAAAAGGUGCAAGAAGGGAAAAAGAGGAAGAAAAAGAAAAGAAGAAGAAGAAAAAGAAAAAUGGAAAAGAAAAUCAAGACACAAAGACCCUUCUACCCCUAAAACCCUAAUCUUGGCCUAUAUAAACAUCCUUUUCUCUCAUUAGCCACCAUCUUAGUCUUUACCCUAGUUUUACCUAGUUGUUAGUAGCCUCCUUCAUCACUUUCUAGCUUUCUUUUUCAAAUUGUAAUCUCUCAAAUAUUGUAAACACUUUCUUGUUUAAUAUAAUUUCAAGUUUAGUUUCUUCAUCUCCUACAUCUUUACCUUGUUGAAAUUUAUGGCUAUGAUCUAUUUUCUUUCCAACAAGUGGAUAAAGUGGCAUGUAUGCCAACCACUUGUGGGUUGAAAGAGCCUUUAUUUUAUGUUUUAGUUGACAUUUUGAUAUUUAGAUUAAGCCCCUUUUAAAUCUCAAUUUUAUUAGUGGGUUUAAUGAUUUAGUAUUUUUGUUUUUGAUUUUGGUUUGUAGUUUGAUGGGGUUUUGUUAGAAACAUGGUAGAUAAGCUAGUUUUGAAGUUUUGUUGGAUUUAGAGUUAGUUUGAUAUGAUUUGGUAGUGUUCUUGUUCUUGGUUUUGAUUUUGGGGCUUUUGGGUGUAAAUUUUAGUUUAUGAUUUUGACUUGAGGUUAGUGGGUUUUUGUUAGUUAUAUUUUAUAUAGGCUAGAUUUAAAAUUUGGUAUAAUUUGGAGUUUUUUUGGCUUG